ACUAAGCGUACACGGUGGAUGCCCUGGCAGUCAGAGGCGAUGAAGGACGUGCUAAUCUGCGAUAAGCGUCGGUAAGGUGAUAUGAACCGUUAUAACCGGCGAUUUCCGAAUGGGGAAACCCAGUGUGUUUCGACACACUAUCAUUAACUGAAUCCAUAGGUUAAUGAGGCGAACCGGGGGAACUGAAACAUCUAAGUACCCCGAGGAAAAGAAAUCAACCGAGAUUCCCCCAGUAGCGGCGAGCGAACGGGGAGCAGCCCAGAGCCUGAAUCAGUGUGUGUGUUAGUGGAAGCGUCUGGAAAGGCGCGCGAUACAGGGUGACAGCCCCGUACACAAAAAUGCACAUGCUGUGAGCUCGAUGAGUAGGGCGGGACACGUGGUAUCCUGUCUGAAUAUGGGGGGACCAUCCUCCAAGGCUAAAUACUCCUGACUGACCGAUAGUGAACCAGUACCGUGAGGGAAAGGCGAAAAGAACCCCGGCGAGGGGAGUGAAAAAGAACCUGAAACCGUGUACGUACAAGCAGUGGGAGCACGCUUAGGCGUGUGACUGCGUACCUUUUGUAUAAUGGGUCAGCGACUUAUAUUCUGUAGCAAGGUUAACCGAAUAGGGGAGCCGAAGGGAAACCGAGUCUUAACUGGGCGUUAAGUUGCAGGGUAUAGACCCGAAACCCGGUGAUCUAGCCAUGGGCAGGUUGAAGGUUGGGUAACACUAACUGGAGGACCGAACCGACUAAUGUUGAAAAAUUAGCGGAUGACUUGUGGCUGGGGGUGAAAGGCCAAUCAAACCGGGAGAUAGCUGGUUCUCCCCGAAAGCUAUUUAGGUAGCGCCUCGUGAAUUCAUCUCCGGGGGUAGAGCACUGUUUCGGCAAGGGGGUCAUCCCGACUUACCAACCCGAUGCAAACUGCGAAUACCGGAGAAUGUUAUCACGGGAGACACACGGCGGGUGCUAACGUCCGUCGUGAAGAGGGAAACAACCCAGACCGCCAGCUAAGGUCCCAAAGUCAUGGUUAAGUGGGAAACGAUGUGGGAAGGCCCAGACAGCCAGGAUGUUGGCUUAGAAGCAGCCAUCAUUUAAAGAAAGCGUAAUAGCUCACUGGUCGAGUCGGCCUGCGCGGAAGAUGUAACGGGGCUAAACCAUGCACCGAAGCUGCGGCAGCGACGCUUAUGCGUUGUUGGGUAGGGGAGCGUUCUGUAAGCCUGUGAAGGUGUGCUGUGAGGCAUGCUGGAGGUAUCAGAAGUGCGAAUGCUGACAUAAGUAACGAUAAAGCGGGUGAAAAGCCCGCUCGCCGGAAGACCAAGGGUUCCUGUCCAACGUUAAUCGGGGCAGGGUGAGUCGACCCCUAAGGCGAGGCCGAAAGGCGUAGUCGAUGGGAAACAGGUUAAUAUUCCUGUACUUGGUGUUACUGCGAAGGGGGGACGGAGAAGGCUAUGUUGGCCGGGCGACGGUUGUCCCGGUUUAAGCGUGUAGGCUGGUUUUCCAGGCAAAUCCGGAAAAUCAAGGCUGAGGCGUGAUGACGAGGCACUACGGUGCUGAAGCAACAAAUGCCCUGCUUCCAGGAAAAGCCUCUAAGCAUCAGGUAACAUCAAAUCGUACCCCAAACCGACACAGGUGGUCAGGUAGAGAAUACCAAGGCGCUUGAGAGAACUCGGGUGAAGGAACUAGGCAAAAUGGUGCCGUAACUUCGGGAGAAGGCACGCUGAUAUGUAGGUGAAGUCCCUCGCGGAUGGAGCUGAAAUCAGUCGAAGAUACCAGCUGGCUGCAACUGUUUAUUAAAAACACAGCACUGUGCAAACACGAAAGUGGACGUAUACGGUGUGACGCCUGCCCGGUGCCGGAAGGUUAAUUGAUGGGGUCAGCGCAAGCGAAGCUCUUGAUCGAAGCCCCGGUAAACGGCGGCCGUAACUAUAACGGUCCUAAGGUAGCGAAAUUCCUUGUCGGGUAAGUUCCGACCUGCACGAAUGGCGUAAUGAUGGCCAGGCUGUCUCCACCCGAGACUCAGUGAAAUUGAACUCGCUGUGAAGAUGCAGUGUACCCGCGGCAAGACGGAAAGACCCCGUGAACCUUUACUAUAGCUUGACACUGAACAUUGAGCCUUGAUGUGUAGGAUAGGUGGGAGGCUUAGAAGUGUGGACGCCAGUCUGCAUGGAGCCGACCUUGAAAUACCACCCUUUAAUGUUUGAUGUUCUAACGUUGACCCGUAAUCCGGGUUGCGGACAGUGUCUGGUGGGUAGUUUGACUGGGGCGGUCUCCUCCUAAAGAGUAACGGAGGAGCACGAAGGUUGGCUAAUCCUGGUCGGACAUCAGGAGGUUAGUGCAAUGGCAUAAGCCAGCUUGACUGCGAGCGUGACGGCGCGAGCAGGUGCGAAAGCAGGUCAUAGUGAUCCGGUGGUUCUGAAUGGAAGGGCCAUCGCUCAACGGAUAAAAGGUACUCCGGGGAUAACAGGCUGAUACCGCCCAAGAGUUCAUAUCGACGGCGGUGUUUGGCACCUCGAUGUCGGCUCAUCACAUCCUGGGGCUGAAGUAGGUCCCAAGGGUAUGGCUGUUCGCCAUUUAAAGUGGUACGCGAGCUGGGUUUAGAACGUCGUGAGACAGUUCGGUCCCUAUCUGCCGUGGGCGCUGGAGAACUGAGGGGGGCUGCUCCUAGUACGAGAGGACCGGAGUGGACGCAUCACUGGUGUUCGGGUUGUCAUGCCAAUGGCACUGCCCGGUAGCUAAAUGCGGAAGAGAUAAGUGCUGAAAGCAUCUAAGCACGAAACUUGCCCCGAGAUGAGUUCUCCCUGACUCCUUGAGAGUCCUGAAGGAACGUUGAAGACGACGACGUUGAUAGGCCGGGUGUGUAAGCGCAGCGAUGCGUUGAGCUAACCGGUACUAAUGAACCGUGAGGCUUAACC
rnacentral:rRNA from 1 species